AACGAACGCUGGCGGCAUGCCUAACACAUGCAAGUCGAACGAAGGCUUCGGCCUUAGUGGCGCACGGGUGCGUAACACGUGGGAAUCUGCCCUUUGCUUCGGAAUAACAGUUAGAAAUGACUGCUAAUACCGGAUAAUGUCGCAAGACCAAAGAUUUAUCGGCAAAGGAUGAGCCCGCGUAAGAUUAGGUAGUUGGUGGGGUAAUGGCCUACCAAGCCGACGAUCUUUAGCUGGUCUGAGAGGAUGAUCAGCCACACUGGGACUGAGACACGGCCCAGACUACUACGGGAGGCAGCAGUGGGGAAUAUUGGACAAUGGGCGAAAGCCUGAUCCAGCAAUGCCGCGUGAGUGUUGAAGGCCUUAGGGUUGUAAAGCUCUUUUACCCGGGAUGAUAAUGACAGUACCGGGAGAAUAAGCUCCGGCUAACUCCGUGCCAGCCGCCGCCGUAAUAC
rnacentral:rRNA from 1 species